GCGUGCUUAACACAUGCAAGUCGAACGGGAAACCAUUUAUUGAAGCUUCGGCAGAUUUAGCUGGUUUCUAGUGGCGGACGGGUGAGUAACGCGUGGGUAACCUGCCUUAUACAGGGGGAUAACAGUCAGAAAUGACUGCUAAUACCGCAUAAGCGCACAGGACCGCAUGGUCUGGUGUGAAAAACUCCGGUGGUAUAAGAUGGACCCGCGUUGGAUUAGCUUGUUGGUGAGGUAACGGCUCACCAAGGCGACGAUCCAUAGCCGGCCUGAGAGGGUGAACGGCCACAUUGGGACUGAGACACGGCCCAGACUCCUACGGGAGGCAGCAGUGGGGAAUAUUGCACAAUGGGGGAAACCCUGAUGCAGCGACGCCGCGUGAAGGAAGAAGUAUCUCGGUAUGUAAACUUCUAUCAGCAGGGAAGAUAGUGACGGUACCUGACUAAGAAGCCCCGGCUAACUACGUGCCAGCAGCCGCGGUAAUACGUAGGGGGCAAGCGUUAUCCGGAUUUACUGGGUGUAAAGGGAGCGUAGACGGACUGGCAAGUCUGAUGUGAAAGGCGGGGGCUCAACCCCUGGACUGCAUUGGAAACUGUUAGUCUUGAGUGCCGGAGAGGUAAGCGGAAUUCCUAGUGUAGCGGUGAAAUGCGUAGAUAUUAGGAGGAACACCAGUGGCGAAGGCGGCUUACUGGACGGUA
rnacentral:rRNA from 1 species